GAUGAAGAACGCAGCGAAAUGCGAUAAGUAGUGUGAAUUGCAGAAUUCAGUGAAUCAUCGAGUCUUUGAACGCACAUUGCGCCCCCUGGUAUUCCGGGGGCAUGCCUGUCCGAGCGUCAUUGCUGCCCUCAAGCACGGCUUGUGUGUUGGGCCUCCGUCCUCCUCCCGGGGGACGGGCCCGAAAGGCAGCGGCGGCACCGCGUCCGGUCCUCGAGCGUAUGGGGCUUCGUCACCCGCUCUUGUAGGCCCGGCCGGCGCUUGCCGACACAUCAAUCUUUUUUCCAGGUUGACCUCGGAUCAGGUAGGGAUACCCGCUGAACUUAAGCAUAUCAAUAAGCGGAGGA
rnacentral:misc_RNA from 1 species